GCUUCCUACGGGGCGCAGCAGUGGGGAAUAUUGCACAAUGGGGGAAACCCUGAUGCAGCAACGCCGCGUGAAGGAAGACGGUUUUCGGAUUGUAAACUUCUUUUCUUAGUGAUGAAGCAAGUGACGGUAGCUAAGGACUAAGCAUCGGCUAACUACGUGCCAGCAGCCGCGGUAAUACGUAGGAUGCGAGCGUUAUCCGGACUUACUGGGUGUAACGGGAGCGCAGGCGGGCCUGCCAGUUGGAUGUGAACUCCCUCCUCUUGCCUG
rnacentral:rRNA from 1 species